UGUUGAGAAAAGAGACUUCUCCUUGGGCCUCUGACUCUGCCUCAACCCCAUAACAAAACCUUUGUUUGAGAAAUUCAGUGUUAUCCCGAGAGUGCCCUGGAGUGCUAUCGGUCACACAGCGUCCUCUAAUACAGAAGAAGUGGCUGUCUGAGGACCAUCCUGCAGGGCAAGUCCCUCCCUGAGCUACAGUCUCCUCACUUGCGACAACGACAACAGCAGCAGCAACUACAGCAACUGUGAGCAGACCCACGGUGCCUGAAAACCCAUGGCUCCACCCAGGCCUGCCUCUGCCUGGUCUCCCUCCAUCUGCCCUGUGUUGCUGGGAGUGAGCUGGUCCAUUUGGCUGGAGCAAGGCGAUGAAGAGAAGGGCCCUGUCAAGGAAAUGGGGGCAGCCAUCCUCUCCUGCCCAGCCACGUGCUCUUGAGAAAGGUGACGGUGGGAGCAAGAGGGAGAAUGGGCCUGGCUCUCUCUGUCUUGCACAGAAGACCACAGGGCAGAAUGAAGUCACAGAGCACUCAGGAAUGGAAUUAAGCUGAUCCAGGCUGUGCUUUUUUCUGGGCUUCAUCUUUCUGUCAAUAAACUGGGCAUUAUAAUCUCUAUAAUUCCUUCA
rnacentral:lncRNA from 1 species